GCAACAGAACCAGAAAACUGUCGCAGAAAACAGACAACCACCAUUCAAAAGGAUCAAAGAACAGCCAGAAUGGCCAAGACUCAGCCAAUGAUCAGCUCCAGGGUGAACAAAGAAGAUUUAAAAUUACCUGUGAGUACUGUAACAAUU